rnacentral:rRNA from 1 species
CAGUAGCCGCGGGAAUACGUAGGUGGCAAGCGUUGUCCGGAAUUAUUGGGCGUAAAGGGCUCGCAGGCGGUUUCUUAAGUCUGAUGUGAAAGCCCCCGGCUCAACCUAGGAAUUGCAUUUGAUACUGUUUGGCUUGAGUUCGGGAGAGGUGAGUGGAAUUCCCAGUGUAGAGGUGAAAUUCGUAGAUAUUGGGAAGAACGCCAGUGGCGAAGGCGGCUCACUGGACCGACACUGACGCUGAGGCGCGAAAGCGUGGGGAGCAAACAGGAUUAGAGACCCCGGUAGUCCCUGUCUCUUAUAC